UAGUAUAACGACCUGGCUAGCUAUUCACGAAACGUUCGUAGACCUACGAACUUCUUAAUCCCAUUCUUAUCACAUUUGCUACGAUCAAAGUUAAGAAUUCUUAGGGCUACGAACGUUUCGAGAACAAGAGCCCAGUUCAAGAUUUG